CAGUCGCCGCGGUAAUACAGAGGGUGCGAGCGUUAAUCGGAUUUACUGGGCGUAAAGCGUGCGUAGGCGGCUUUUUAAGUCGGAUGUGAAAUCUCUGAGCUUAACUUAGGAAUUGCAUUCGAUACUGGGAAGCUAGAGUAUGGGAGAGGAUGGUAGAAUUCCAGGUGUAGCGGUGAAAUGCGUAGAGAUCUGGAGGAAUACCGAUGGCGAAGGCAGCCAUCUGGCCUAAUACUGACGCUGAGGUACGAAAGCAUGGGGAGCAAACAGGAUUAGAUACCCCCGUAGUCCCUGUCUCUUAUAA
rnacentral:rRNA from 1 species